rnacentral:rRNA from 1 species
GACGAACGCUGGCGGCGUGCCUAAUACAUGCAAGUAGAACGCUGAAGCGAGGAGCUUGCUCUUCUUGGAUGAGUUGCGAACGGGUGAGUAACGCGUAGGUAACCUGCCUUGUAGCGGGGGAUAACUAUUGGAAACGAUAGCUAAUACCGCAUAACAAUGGAUGACACAUGUCAUUUAUUUGAAAGGGGCAAUUGCUCCACUACAAGAUGGACCUGCGUUGUAUUAGCUAGUAGGUGAGGUAACGGCUCACCUAGGCGACGAUACAUAGCCGACCUGAGAGGGUGAUCGGCCACACUGGGACUGAGACACGGCCCAGACUCCUACGGGAGGCAGCAGUAGGGAAUCUUCGGAAAUGGGGGCAACCCUGACCGAGCAACGCCGCGUGAGUGAAGAAGGUUUUCGGAUCGUAAAGCUCUGUUGUAAGUCAAGAACGAGUGUGAGAGUGGAAAGUUCACACUGUGACGGUAGCUUACCAGAAAGGGACGGCUAACUACGUG